rnacentral:rRNA from 1 species
GACGAACGCUGGCGGCGUGCUUAACACAUGCAAGUCGAACGGAAAGGCCUGCUUUCCCUUGUGGAUUGCGGGUACUCGAGUGGCGAACGGGUGAGUAACACGUGAGUGAUCUGCCCCCAACUUGGGUAUAAGCCUGGGAAACUGGGUCUAAUUCCCGAUAGGACUGCAGGGUGGUGCCUGUGGUGGAAAACGAUUUUCUAGUGGUUGGGGAUGAGCUCGCGGCCUAUCAGCCUGUUGGUGGGGUAAUGGCCUACCAAGGCGGCGACGGGUAGCCGGCCUGAGAGGGUGGACGGCCACAUUGGGACUGAGAUACGGCCCAGACUCCUACGGGAGGCAGCAGUGGGGAAUAUUGCACAAUGGGCGGAAGCCUGAUGCAGCGACGCCGCGUGGGGGAUGACGGCCUUCGGGUUGUAAACUCCUUUCGACCGCGAGGAAGCCACCUGGUUGGAAGGGUGGUGACGGUAGUGGUAGAAGAAGCACCGGCUAACUACGUG